GUCUCUUUGUAAUUUAUAAAUAAAGAGUCGGGCCUGCUCGGUGAUAAUAAUUUUUAACAGCUGCGGUAUUUUAACUGUACUAAGGUAGCAUAAUAGUUUGCCUUAUAAUUUGAGGCUAGAAUGAAUGGUUUGACGAAGGUUAAUCUGUCUCUAUUUUAUUUAAUAGAAAUUAAUUUUUAAAGUGAGAAAGCUUAAAUUUUUUAAAGGGACGAGAAGACCCUAUUGAGCUUAUAAUUUUAUUAUUAUUAUAUGUAAUAAUAAAUGAAUUUUAAUUGGGGUGAUUAAGGAAUAAUUAGUAUUAGUUAGUAACUUCCUUAAAUAGAUAAAUAGAUGUAUAAAUUAACCAAUAAUUAUAUUGCUUUUAUUAAAGUUACCAUAGGGAUAACAGCGUAAUUUACUUAAAGAGUUCUUAUUGAAAAGUGAGAUUGCGACCUCGAUGUUGGAUUAAAGUAACCUUAAGGUGUAGAAGCUUUAAAAGGUAAAUCUGUUCGAUUUUUAAAACUUUACA
rnacentral:rRNA from 1 species